AUUGAACGCUGGCGGCAUGCCUUACACAUGCAAGUCGAACGGCAGCGGGGACUUCGGUCCGCCGGCGAGUGGCGAACGGGUGAGUAAUGUAUCGGAACGUACCAUUGAGUGGGGGAUAACGUAGCGAAAGUUACGCUAAUACCGCAUAUUCCCUCCGGAGGAAAGCAGGGGACCGCAAGGCCUUGCGCUCUUUGAGCGGCCGAUAUCAGAUUAGCUAGUUGGUGGGGUAAAAGCUCACCAAGGCGACGAUCUGUAGCGGGUCUGGGAGGAUGAUCCGCCACACUGGAACUGAGACACGGUCCAGACUCCUACGGGAGGCAGCAGUGGGGAAUUUUGGACAAUGGGGGCAACCCUGAUCCAGCCAUGCCGCGUGAGUGAAGAAGGCCCUCGGGUUGUAAAGCUCUUUCGGCCGGGAAAAAAUCGCAUGGGUUAAUACCCUGUGUGGAUGAUGGUACCGGAAUAAGAAGCACCGGCUAACUACGUGCCAGCCGCCGCUGUAA
rnacentral:rRNA from 1 species